GACGAACGCUGGCGGCGUGCUUAACACAUGCAAGUCGAACGGAAAGGCCCUGCUUUUGUGGGGUGCUCGAGUGGCGAACGGGUGAGUAACACGUGAGUAACCUGCCCUCGACUUUGGGAUAACUUCAGGAAACUGGGGCUAAUACCGGAUAGGAGCUCCUGCUGCAUGGUGGGGGUUGGAAAGUUUCGGCGGUUGGGGAUGGACUCGCGGCUUAUCAGCUUGUUGGUGGGGUAAUGGCUUACCAAGGCUUUGACGGGUAGCCGGCCUGAGAGGGUGACCGGCCACAUUGGGACUGAGAUACGGCCCAGACUCCUACGGGAGGCAGCAGUGGGGAAUAUUGCACAAUGGGCGGAAGCCUGAUGCAGCAACGCCGCGUGCGGGAUGACGGCCUUCGGGUUGUAAACCGCUUUCGCCUGUGACGAAGCGUGAGUGACGGUAAUGGGUAAAGAAGCACCGGCUAACUACGUG
rnacentral:rRNA from 1 species